AUUGAACGCUGGCGGCAGGCCUAACACAUGCAAGUCGAGCGGAUGAAGGGAGCUUGCUCCUGGAUUCAGCGGCGGACGGGUGAGUAAUGCCUAGGAAUCUGCCUGGUAGUGGGGGAUAACGUCCGGAAACGGGCGCUAAUACCGCAUACGUCCUGAGGGAGAAAGUGGGGGAUCUUCGGACCUCACGCUAUCAGAUGAGCCUAGGUCGGAUUAGCUAGUUGGCGGGGUAAAGGCCUACCAAGGCGACGAUCCGUAACUGGUCUGAGAGGAUGAUCAGUCACACUGGAACUGAGACACGGUCCAGACUCCUACGGGAGGCAGCAGUGGGGAAUAUUGGACAAUGGGCGAAAGCCUGAUCCAGCCAUGCCGCGUGUGUGAAGAAGGUCUUCGGAUUGUAAAGCACUUUAAGUUGGGAGGAAGGGCAGUAAGUUAAUACCUUGCUGUCUUGACGUUACCAACAGAAUAAGCACCGGCUAACUUCGUG
rnacentral:rRNA from 1 species